UAAAGAAUAUUGGUCAAUGGGCGCAAGCCUGAACCAGCCAUGCCGCGUGCAGGAAGACGGCCCUAUGGGUUGUAAACUGCUUUUGUCAGGGAAUAAACCCCCGCUCGUGAGCGGGGCUGAAGGUACCUGAAGAAUAAGCAUCGGCUAACUCCGUGCCAGCAGCCGCGGUAAUACGGAGGAUGCAAGCGUUAUCCGGAUUCAUUGGGUUUAAAGGGUGCGCAGGCGGAUUGGUAAGUCAGGGGUGAAAUCCCACAGCUCAACUGUGGAACUGCCUUUGAUACUGUCAGUCUAGAGUAUAGUUGAAGUGGGCGGAAUGUGUCAUGUAGCGGUGAAAUGCUUAGAUAUGACACAGAACACCGAUCGCGAAGGCAGCUCGCUAAGCUAUAACUGACGCUCAUGCACGAAAGCGUGGGGAUCAAAC
rnacentral:rRNA from 1 species